GUAACAUUAGCAACAGAUUAACACCCGAUCCCAUUCCGAACUCGACCGUGAAAGCUGUUAGCGCCGAUGGUACUUUAUCUUAAGGUAUGGAAGAGUAGGACGUUGCCA
rnacentral:rRNA from 1 species